AGAGUUUGAUCCUGGCUCAGAGCGAACGCUGGCGGCAGGCCUAAUACAUGCAAGUCGAACGCACCUUCGGGUGAGUGGCGGACGGGUGAGUAACACGUGGGAACGUGCCUUUUGGUUCGGAAUAAUCCGGGGAAACCUGGCCUAAUACCGGAUGUGCCCUUCGGGGGAAAGAUUUAUCGCCAUUAGAGCGGCCCGCGUCUGAUUAGCUAGUUGGUGGGGUAAAGGCCCACCAAGGCUACGAUCAGUAGCUGGUCUGAGAGGAUGAUCAGCCACACUGGGACUGAGACACGGCCCAGACUCCUACGGGAGGCAGCAGUAGGGAAUCUUGCGCAAUGGGGGAAACCCUGACGCAGCCAUGCCGCGUGAAUGAUGAAGGUCUUAGGAUUGUAAA
rnacentral:rRNA from 1 species